CGGAGAUGCAACAUCGACAAUUUUCCGAGAUGCCUCCCAGAGCUGUAUCUCGCGAAUGCUCACCGCCCAACGAUUCAGUCGUUUGCCGGCUACCGACGCGUGUGGAUUCAAUUCUGUAGAACGUUUCGCGGUAUUGUCAAUCAUAUCCGAGAGCUUCAUAUGUGUGUUAAAGUCAAGGUUCAAUACGGGCUAUUGUUGGAGUUUAGCUAACAACGUGAAACGUCGAAGGAAAAGCGAAGAAAAGUGUGUUUGCUGUUGUUACAAAAGAGUGUUGUGUUGAUCCAAUUCAAGUUCACGAGAAAGAAAAUUCCGUUGGGUCAGCCUGGAGUGGAAAACUCAUUCCAGUGGAAGAUGUGAUUACUGUUAGUCUAAAUCUGACCGGAGUUGGAAGCGGAUUUGAAGAGGAUUGAGGAAUUGGAACGUGCUUUGUUCGGUUCGGUUGCGAUUUGGAAGGAGAAACAUAACUACCAACGUGCGGUUGUUUGAAUGGGAGUGGGGGUUGAUGAGAGAUGUCCUGUCAGUAACAGACAGCAGAAACCGGAGUGAAGGCUGUUGUGUUGUUAGUUCGAAUCUUUGAAUCCAGUGGAGAGCAGA